rnacentral:rRNA from 1 species
CCCUUAGACGUUCUGGGCCGCACGCGCGCUACACUGACGAAGGCAACGAGCUUUCCUUUACCGAAAGGUACGGGUAAUCUUUUGAAACUUCGUCGUGCUGGGGAUAGAUCCUUGCAAUUUUUGAUCUUAAACGAGGAAUGCCUAGUAAGCGCAAGUCAUCAACUUGCGUUGAUUACGUCCCUGCCCUUUGUACACACCGCCCGUCGCUACUACCGAUUGAAUGGUUUAGUGAGGCCUUCGGAUCCGCGACUCGUUUGUGGAGAAGUUGGACAAACUCAGUCAUUUAGAGGAAGUAAAAGUCGUGACA